CAGCCGUAAACUAUGCUCGCUAGGUGUCAGGGACGGUGCGACCGUUUCUGGUGCCGCAGGGAAGCCGUGAAGCGAGCCACCUGGGAAGUACGGUCGCAAGGCUGAAACUUAAAGGAAUUGGCGGGGGGAGCACCACAACGCGUGGAGCCUGCGGUUUAAUUUGGAUUCAACGCCGGACAUCUCACCAGGGGCGACAGCAGAAUGAUGGCCAGGUUGAUGACCUUGCUUGACAAGCUGAGAGGAGGUGCAUGGCGUAGUCGUGU
rnacentral:rRNA from 1 species